rnacentral:tRNA from 1 species
GUGAGGUUUAAUGUCUCUUCCUUGA